GGGGUUGUGUUUCAGCGGUAGAAGGCUUGCCUAGCAUGUGAGAGGCUCUGGGUUCAAUCCUCAGCCCCA
rnacentral:tRNA from 1 species